AAUAAUCAGGAAAAUAUAUAUUAAUUUAUACAUAAGAUUAUAUAGGUGUUUGAGCCUCCUUUUAUAAUAAUGAUAAUAUAAAUGAUAAUAUGAUAAUGAUAUGUUGGCUAAAUCAUCCAUAUGAAAAAAAAAUUAAAAGCAGCAAAUAAAACAUAUGGUGAUUUAGAUCAUCCAUGUUAAAGCAAUAAAUUAAAAUAUUAAAUAAAAUAUGGUGACUAAAAUCAUCCAAGUUAAAGCAGUAAAUUAAAAUAUUAAAUAAAAUAUGGUGAUUAAAAUCAUUCUUGUUAAAACUGUGAAUUAGAGUAUUAAAUGUAAUAUGGUGAUUAAAAUCAUCCAUAGAAACAAGAAGUAAAUUAUUGUGACUAAAAUCAUCCACAUUAAAAAGUUAAAAGCAAUAAAUAAGAUGGUGCAUUAAAUAACCAUAUAAAAGUAUUAUAUUUAUAAAGGGCGGCAGAACAGCGCUCUGAUAAUAAUAUAGCUUAACAUGGUGGAGUGAUCAUACUGAUAACAUGUUGUAUUUUAAUAGAAUUUUGUACCGUAAGUCAUCUAUCAAUUUAUCUUCUUUUCAAGUUUUAAAGAAAAAUAAUAGACAUAUUGUAAGAGAAAGAAAUAUGAGAAAGAAAGCAAGCAUAAAAGAAGAGUAAUAAUAGAAAAAACUUUACACUAAUUUUCUUUUAUAUUCAGAUGAGUAUCUUUACAACUAAAUGGAAGAGUAAGGUCAUGUUUAUUUCUCCAUCUAGAUGGACCAUCUAGAUAGAGAUGAAAAAUAAUGUUUGUUUUGGCAUUUAAAUGAAGAAGUUGAAUAAUACAUCUGAAUAGGUUUGUAAAUUUAGGCAAAUUUGUGAAACUCAUUUGGAUGGACUUGAUUAAACCAUUUGGAUGGAGAUGGUUAAGCCAAAAAGAACAAAUGACAAAUAUACCCUCUUUUAAUAAUGUUAAUUUAUUAUAGAUUUUUUAUUUAACAUUUUUUUAAAUUACAUAUUGCAUUCCAAAAAUCAUGAAACUACGGACUAUUAUUUAACGUAAAAAAUGUAAAUUCAUUAUUCCCGCCUAAACCGCAACAUCAUGUUUUUCCCGCCAAAACCAUAAAAUCAUUUUUCUCGCUAAAACCGUAAAAUCAUGUUUUCCGCCAAAACAGUAAAAUCAUGUUUUUCCACCAAAACCGCAAAAUCAUGUUUUUCCACCAAAAUCGUAAAAUCAUUUUUCCGCCCAAACCACAAAAUCAUGUUUUUCCACGAAAACAGUAAAAUCAUGUUUUCUCCGCUAAAAUCGUAAAAUCAUUUUCCCGCCAAAACCGUAAAAUCACGUUUUCUGCCAAAACUUCUCACAAAAACUGAAAAAUCAUGUUUUUCAACUAGAAUCGUAAAAUCAUUUUUCCCGCCAAAACUGUAAAAUAAUGUUUUUCCGCCAAAACCGUAAAUUAAAAUCACGUUUUCCCAUCAAAACCGUAAAAUCAUUUUUUCCACCAAAACCACAAAAUCAUGUUUUCCACCAAAACUGUAAAAUUAUUUUUCCCACCAAAAUCGUAAAAUUAUUUUCCCGGCAAACCGUAAAAUUAUGUUUUCCCGCCAAAACCGUAUAAUCAUUUUUUCCAACAAAAUCCAAAUUCAUGUUUCUCGUCAAAACUUCAAAUUAUAUUUGCCACCCAAAACCAUAAAAAAAAAUAUUAUGCUAAAAACCGCAAAAUCACAUUUUCCGCAAUAAUUCAAUUAAUAUAGCUAAGAUUAAAGAUUAAAAAGUUAAUAUGUUUGGUAUUGAUAUUUGAUAAUGACGUUGUAUAUUUUUCAAAAUGAGAACAUGGGAUUUUAAUCAUUUUUUUCUAGACGAGAAUAAAGAUGAACUACAAAAUGAUCAAACAAAGAAAUAUCAAUUUAAAUGCAUCAUUUAGAUAAU
rnacentral:sRNA from 1 species